rnacentral:lncRNA from 1 species
UUGUAUUCUGUAAUAGUUUGGUUGCUUAAUGAACAAAUAUAACACAUUACUUGGUGUUCUAUCAGGUUCUGUUAGGAUCCCUCCUAACAAGGAGGAUUACCUCAAGAAGAAAAGAUGAACUCCAGAACACUUAAAAAACAUCCAAAUAUGAAAUAUAUAUUAGAAGAUCAUAAUAACAAGUAACAAGUAACCCUAGCCUUUUGAAAGGGCUAGACUCUCCCAAGAUUCCCUUACAAGGAAAUUUUUUCUUAAAAUUCUAAACACCUCUCCCCAACCCCUCUCCCACUAUUUAUAACAAAAAGACCUAACCAACUUACCAUCUAUUUACUAAUAUGACCUCACUAACAAUCAUUUUCAUUUUCUCCUAAUAAUCCACUAUUGUUUGAUUCUUCUUUUUGUUUCCUCUCCUACCACUGACUGGCAAUGAUAGCUUCCUCGGUCGUUUCUUUGUCUUUCGGUCUCCUCCCCUUCUCGUCAAUAAUGUUCGUCUCCUCUUCCAUGCUUCUACCUCUGUUCCGUGUUUCCAUUUCUACCAAGUAUUUGUCUCCAACCACCUCACCCUUCGUUGUCGACCAUGGGAAUGCACAAUUAGAUUUGGCUCUCUUCCUUCCAUCUUUUUCAUGGUCGUUCUCUGAUUCCUUCCUCCUCGAGUCAUUGUUUGAUUUCUCUUUCUCUCCAACUUGGAUAUCGUCUAGUUUCUUGUCCUCUCUUUCACUAUCUCUCUGCAGCCCUUCAAAAAGCUUUGGACGAAUUGAUCUGGCAUUCCUCUGUAUUCUUUCCACCUUGCAAUCCAUCAUCCAUUUCUGCAUCUUCUCCCAUGUCCAUGGAGUCUCUUCUCUCUCAGCCGCUUCAUGUUUACAAUCGGCAGCCCAUUUAAGCGCUUGCUCCCAAGUUCCUUUCUCAAUCAUGGCCAGGUCUUCUUCCAUCUCCCCUUUCACUUUCAACGCCGAUCCCACACCAGAUUCUUCCCAUCGGCGACUAACAUUGUAUUCUCUCAAUUCCUUCGCCAGCCUUUCGAUGCUUUUGGACAACUCCACAACCAAAUCUUUAAGUUCCCUAAUGUCAUCAUUCUUUUCCAACCUCUCCUCCAAUUGUUUUUGUGUCAUAACCCGUGUCACCCCCAAGAUGUUACAGCUCUGAUACCAAUUUGUUAGGAUCCCUCCUAACAAGGAUUACCUCAAGAAGAAAAGAUGAACUCCAGAACACUUAAAAAACAUCCAAAUAUGAAAUAUAUAUUAGAAGAUCAUAAUAACAAGUAACAAGUAACCCUAGCCUUUUGAGAGGGCUAGACUCUCCCAAGGUUCCCUUACAAGGAAAUCUUUCCUUAAAAUUCUUCACACCUCUCCCCAACCCCUCUCCCACUAUUUAUAACAAAAAGACCUAACCAACUUACCAUCCAUUUACUAAUAUGACCUUACUAACAACCAUUUUCAUUUUCUCCUAAUAAUCCAC